GAUCAUGGCUCAGGAUGAACGCUGGCGGCGUGCCUAAUACAUGCAAGUAGAACGCUGAAGCUUGGUGCUUGCACCGAGCGGAUGAGUUGCGAACGGGUGAGUAACGCGUAGGUAACCUGCCUCUUAGCGGGGGAUAACUAUUGGAAACGAUAGCUAAUACCGCAUAACAGUCGACAUUGCAUGAUGUUGAUUUGAAAGGUGCAAAUGCAUCACUAAGAGA
rnacentral:rRNA from 1 species